GACAGAGGUGCCGAGCGUUAGGCGGAAUCACUGGGCUUAAAGCGUGUGUAGGCGGGCGAUCAAGUACCUUGUGAAAUCCCAUGGCUCAACCGUGGAACCGCUGGGUAUACUGGUUGUCUUGAGCCGGCUAGGGGCGAGCGGAACAGACGGUGGAGCGGUGAAAUGCGUAGAUAUCGUCUGGAACGCCGAAGGUGAAAACAGCUCGCUGGGGCCGCGCUGACGCUGAGACACGAAAGCCAGGGGAGCGAACGGG
rnacentral:rRNA from 1 species